UCGAGAAUCUUCGGCAAUGGGCGCAAGCCUGACCGAGCGACGCCGCGUGCGGGACGAAGGCCGUUGUGUUGUAAACCGCUGUCAGGGGGGAGGAAAUGUCAGCCCUCAGGGUUGGCUUGACCUAUCUCCAGAGGAAGGACGGGCUAAGUCCGUGCCAGCAGCCGCGGUAAGACGGACCGUCCGAACGUUACUCGGAAUUACUGGGCUUAAAGGGUGCGUAGGCGGCCUUGCAAGUCGGGUGUGAAAGCCCUCGGCUUAACCGAGGAAUUGCGCUCGAAACUGUGAGGCUCGAGGAAGAUAGAGGUGAGCGGAACUUGCGGUGGAGCGGUGAAAUGCGUUGAUAUCGCAAGGAACACCGGAGGCGAAAGCGGCUCACUGGGUCUUUCCUGACGCUGAGGCACGAAAGCUAGGGGAGCGAACG
rnacentral:rRNA from 1 species